rnacentral:rRNA from 1 species
GAAGCGAGCCUGUGAGGGGGGAGGCAAAUCCCAGAAAUAACGUCCCAGUUCGGAUUGCAGUCUGCAACUCGACUGCAUGAAGCUGGAAUCGCUAGUAAUCGCGAAUCAGCAUGUCGCGGUGAAUACGUUCCCGGGUCUUGUACACACCGCCCGUCACACCAUGGGAGUCGGAAAUGCCCGAAGCCAGUGACCCAACCUUUAAGGAGGGAGCUGUCGAAGGCAGGUCUGGUAACUGGGGUGAAGUCGUAACAAGGUACC